UAACCUGCUAAAUAGUUAGGCCAACGAUUGUUGGUCGUCAACUUCUUAGAGGGACUAUUGACUAUUAGUCAAUGGAAGUUUGAGGCAAUAACAGGUCUGUGAUGCCCUUAGAUGUUCUGGGCCGCACGCGCGCUACACUGAUCAAGUCAGCGAGUUUACAACCUUGGCCGGAAGGUCUGGGUAAUCUUUUGAAACUUGAUCGUGCUGGGGAUAGUCCAUUGCAAUUAUUGGACUUCAACGAGGAAUUCCUAGUAAGCGUGAGUCAUCAGCUCGCGUUGAUUACGUCCCUGCCCUUUGUACACACCGCCCGUCGCU
rnacentral:rRNA from 1 species